rnacentral:rRNA from 1 species
GACGAACGCUGGCGGCGUGCCUAACACAUGCAAGUCGAGCGGGGUUGAAGCGAGGGGUAACUCGGACUUCUACCUAGCGGCGGACGGGUGAGUAACGCGUGGGCAACCUGCCUCAAGGUUUGGGAUAACAGCUCGAAAGGGCUGCUAAUACCGGAUAUGCCUGUGGCCUCGCAUGGGGCUAUGAGCAAAGGGGAAACCCGCCUUGAGAUGGGCCCGCGUCCCAUCAGCUAGUUGGUGAGGUGAAGGCUCACCAAGGCGACGACGGGUAGCCGGCCUGAGAGGGUGACCGGCCACACUGGGACUGAGACACGGCCCAGACUCCUACGGGGGGCAGCAGUGGGGGAUCUUGCACAAUGGGCGAAAGCCUGAUGCAGCGACGCCGCGUGAGCGAAGAAGGCCUCGGUUGUAAGACGUCUGUCUGGAGGGAC